rnacentral:snRNA from 1 species
AAAUCCGGCGAAGUAGAGGCGGUC